AAAUAUGCAAAAGCGAAAACGGCAAAGAAAAUUGUGGAAAAACGUGAAACCCUUUUAGGUUUGGCAAGUGGCUAUUUAUAUUGGUGCCUUGAGUAACUGCUUCCGCUUCCAAAGGUCUUCAACGUGCAAAGUAUUUAGGCGUGGACAUCGGCUUCAACUCUCCCUCAACGUCUCUGAAGCGUUGCUUGCGCCAAAAAUGUAGGGGACUGGUGUGACGUUCGUCACAGCAUGUGUGACGUUC
rnacentral:lncRNA from 1 species